CGGGGUUUUCGGACCUAGCGGCGGACGGGUGAGUAAUGCGUAGGAAGCUGCCCGAUAGAGGGGGAUACCAGUUGGAAACGACUGUUAAUACCGCAUAAUGUCUACGGACCAAAGUGUGGGACCUUCGGGCCACAUGCUAUCGGAUGCGCCUACGUGGGAUUAGCUAGUUGGUGAGGUAAUGGCUCACCAAGGCGACGAUCUCUAGCUGGUUUGAGAGGAUGAUCAGCCACACUGGAACAGAGACACGGUCCAGACUCCUACGGGAGGCAGCAGUGGGGAAUAUUGGACAAUGGGCGCAAGCCUGAUCCAGCCAUGCCGCGUGUGUGAAGAAGGCCUUCGGGUUGUAAAGCACUUUCAGCGAGGAGGAAGGGAUUGUAGUUAAUAGCUGCAAUUUUUGACGUUACUCGCAGAAGAAGCACCGGCUAACUCUGUGCCAGCAGCCGCGGUAAUACAGAGGGUGCAAGCGUUAAUCGGAAUUACUGGGCGUAAAGCGCACGUAGGCCGGUUGGUUAAGUUGGAUGUGAAAGCCCCGGGCUCAACCUGGGAAUUGCAUUCA
rnacentral:rRNA from 1 species